rnacentral:tRNA from 1 species
GUCUUCGUGGCUCAGUUGGUUAGAGCGUUGGUCUCAUAUCGCGGUCGAUAAUGAAGGUGUACUGCACCCGCCAUCCAAAGGUCGCGAGUUCGAGUCUCGCCGAGGACA